rnacentral:tRNA from 4 species
GCGCCCGUAGCUCAAUUGGAUAGAGCAUCGGCCUUCUAAGCCGACGGUUGCUGGUUCGAUUCCAGUCGGGCGCGCCA